AACGAUGAUGUUGGUGUCGCACAUUAGACUGGUGUUUAAAUAGAGCUUUGCUCGUGAACCAAAUAUGGUGGGCUGGGUUGUCUUUGUGGAAACGCUUAGGCGACUUGUCUACGAAUUGUAAUCAUAAUAUGGGCGGCGGUGAAUCCUUUGUAGACGACUUGAAUGGGAACGGGGUACUGUAAGUGGUAGAGUAGCCUUGUUGCUACGAUCCACUGAGGUUAAGCCCUUGUUCUAAAGAUUUGUUC
rnacentral:rRNA from 1 species